CUCAGGAUGAACGCUGGCUGCGUGCUUAACACAUGCAAGUCGAACGAUGACGACCGGGCUUGCCUGGUCUGAUUAGUGGCGAACGGGUGAGUAACACGUGAGUAACCUGCCCCUCACUUCGGGAUAACCUCGGGAAAUCGUGGCUAAUACCGGAUAUGAACUUCUACCGCAUGGUGGUUGUUGGAAAGUUUUUCGGUGAGGGAUGGACUCGCGGCCUAUCAGUUUGUUGGUGAGGUAAUGGCUCACCAAGACGAUGACGGGUAGCCGGCCUGAGAGGGCGACCGGCCACACUGGGACUGAGACACGGCCCAGACUCCUACGGGAGGCAGCAGUGGGGAAUAUUGCACAAUGGGCGAAAGCCUGAUGCAGCGACGCAGCGUGAGGGAUGACUGCCUUCGGGUUGUAAACCUCUUUCAGUAGGGAAGAAGCGAAAGUGACGGUACCUGCAGAAGAAGCGCCGGCUAACUACGUGCCAGCAGCCGCGGUAAUACGUAGGGCGCAAGCGUUAUCCGGAAUUAUUGGGCGUAAAGAGCUUGUAGGUGGCUUGUCGCGUCUGCCGUGAAAACCCGAGGCUCAACCUCGGGGCGUGCGGUGGGUACGGGCAGGCUAGAGUGUGGUAGGGGAGACUGGAACUCCUGGUGUAGCGGUGAAAUGCGCAGAUAUCAGGAAGAACACCG
rnacentral:rRNA from 1 species